rnacentral:rRNA from 1 species
UGCAAGUCGAGCGGACAGAAGGGAGCUUGCUCCCGGAUGUUAGCGGCGGACGGGUGAGUAACACGUGGGUAACCUGCCUGUAAGACUGGGAUAACUCCGGGAAACCGGAGCUAAUACCGGAUAGUUCCUUGAACCGCAUGGUUCAAGGAUGAAAGACGGUUUCGGCUGUCACUUACAGAUGGACCCGCGGCGCAUUAGCUAGUUGGUGAGGUAACGGCUCACCAAGGCGACGAUGCGUAGCCGACCUGAGAGGGUGAUCGGCCACACUGGGACUGAGACACGGCCCAGACUCCUACGGGAGGCAGCAGUAGGGAAUCUUCCGCAAUGGACGAAAGUCUGACGGAGCAACGCCGCGUGAGUGAUGAAGGUUUUCGGAUCGUAAAGCUCUGUUGUUAGGGAAGAACAAGUGCAAGAGUAACUGCUUGCACCUUGACGGUACCUAACCAGAGAGCCACGGUUAAACUACC